rnacentral:rRNA from 1 species
AUUGAACGCUGGCGGCAUGCUUUACACAUGCAAGUCGAACGGCAGCGCGGGCUUCGGCCUGGCGGCGAGUGGCGAACGGGUGAGUAAUACAUCGGAACGUGCCCAGUAGUGGGGGAUAGCUCGGCGAAAGCCGGAUUAAUACCGCAUACGACCUGAGGGUGAAAGCGGGGGAUCUUCGGACCUCGCGCUAUUGGAGCGGCCGAUGGCAGAUUAGCUAGUUGGUGGGGUAAAGGCCUACCAAGGCGACGAUCUGUAGCUGGUCUGAGAGGACGACCAGCCACAGUGGAACUGAGACACGGGGCAGAGACAUACGGGAGGAAGCAGGGGGGAAGAUUGGAGAAUGAGAGAAAGCCGGAACGAGCAAUGCCGCGUGGGUGAAGAAGGUCUUCGAAUUGUAAAGCACUUUAAGUGGGGAGGAAGAACAGUAAGUUAAUAACUUGGUGCUAGGACGGGACCAACAGAAUAAGCAACGGCUCACUUCGUG